GAACGGGUGAGUAACACGUGGGUGAUCUGCCCUGCACUUUGGGAUAAGCCUGGGAAACUGGGUCUAAUACCGAAUAGGACCACGCGCUUCAUGGUGUGUGGUGGAAAGCUUUUGCGGUGUGGGAUGGGCCCGCGGCCUAUCAGCUUGUUGGUGGGGUAAUGGCCUACCAAGGCGACGACGGGUAGCCGGCCUGAGAGGGUGACCGGCCACACUGGGACUGAGAUACGGCCCAGACUCCUACGGGAGGCAGCAGUGGGGAAUAUUGCACAAUGGGCGCAAGCCUGAUGCAGCGACGCCGCGUGAGGGAUGACGGCCUUCGGGUUGUAAACCUCUUUCAAUAGGGACGAAGCGCAAGUGACGGUACCUAUAGAAGAAGCACCGGCCAACUACGUGCCAGCAGCCGCGGUAAUACGUAGGGUGCGAGCGUUGUCCGGAAUUACUGGGCGUAAAGAGCUCGUAGGUGGUUUGUCGCGUUGUUCGUGAAAACUCACAGCUUAACUGUGGGCGUGCGGGCGAUACGGGCAGACUAGAGUACUGCAGGGGAGACUGGAAUUCCUGGUGUAGCGGUGGAAUGCGCAGAUAUCAGGAGGAACACCGGUGGCGAAGGCGGGUCUCUGGGCAGUAACUGACGCUGAGGAGCGAAAGCGUGGGGAGCGAACAGGAUUAGAUACCCUGGUAGUCCACGCCGUANACGGUGGGUACUAGGUGUGGGUUCCUUCCUUGGGAUCCGUGCCGUAGCUAACGCAUUAAGUACCCCGCCUGGGGAGUACGGCCGCAAGGCUAAAACUCAAAGGAAUUGACGGGGGCCCGCACAAGCGGCGGAGCAUGUGGAUNNNUUCGAUGNCACGCGAAGAACCUUACCUGGGUUUGA
rnacentral:rRNA from 1 species